AUGAACGCUGGCGGUAUGCUUAACACCUGCAAGUCGAACGGACUCUUCGGAGUUAGUGGCGGACGGGUGAGUAACGCGUGAGAAUCUGGCUUUGGGUUCGGGACAACCACUGGAAACGGUGGCUAAUACCGGAUGUGCCGAGAGGUAAAAGAGAAAUUGCCUGAAGAUGAGCUCGCGUCUGAUUAGCUAGUUGGUGAGGUAAAGGCUCACCAAGGCAGCGAUCAGUAGCUGGUCUGAGAGGAUGACCAGCCACACUGGGACUGAGACACGGCCCAGACUCCUACGGGAGGCAGCAGUGGGGAAUUUUCCGCAAUGGGCGAAAGCCUGACGGAGCAAUACCGCGUGAGGGAAGAAGGCUCUUGGGUUGUAAACCUCUUUUCUUAGGGAAGAACAAAAUGACGGUACCUAAGGAAUCAGCAUCGGCUAACUCCGUG
rnacentral:rRNA from 1 species